rnacentral:rRNA from 1 species
CCUACGGGAGGCAGCAGUGAGGAAUAUUGGUCAAUGGGCGCGAGCCUGAACCAGCCAAGUCGCGUGAGGGAAGACGGUCCUAUGGAUUGUAAACCUCUUUUGUCGGGGAGCAAAAGACGCCACGCGUGGCGUUCCGAGAGUACCCGAAGAAAAAGCAUCGGCUAACUCCGUGCCAGCAGCCGCGGUAAUACGGAGGAUGCGAGCGUUAUCCGGAUUUAUUGGGUUUAAAGGGUGCGCAGGCGGAAGAUCAAGGCAGCGGUAAAAUUGAGAGGCUCAACCUCUUCGAGCCGUUGAAACUGGUUUGCUUGAGUGAGCGAGAAGUAUGCGGAAUGCGUGGUGUAGCGGUGAAAUGCAUAGAUAUCACGCAGAACUCCGAUUGCGAAGGCAGCAUACCGGCGCUCAACUGACGCUCAUGCACGAAAGUGUGGGUAUCGAACAGGAUUAGAUACCCCAGUAGUC